UUUUUAGUAGAGAUGGGGUUUCGCCAUGUUGGCCAGGCUGGUCUUGAACUCCUGGGCCUCAAGCAGUCCUCCCACCUCGGUCUCCCGAAGUGCUGGGAUUACAGGCGUGAGCCACCGCGCCCAGUCUAGGAUGUCGUUUUUCUGAUACAACAAAGGAUAAGGUUUUAGAAUAAUAGUAUGUUACAAUAUCUUUAAAAACAGCAGGUGCAGUGGCUCACACCUGUAAGCCCAGCAUUUUGGGGGUUCAAGGCAGGAAGAUCAGUUGAGGCCAGGAGUUCAAGACCAGCCUGGACUGCAUAGCAAGAUCCUAUUUGUACAAAAAAAUGUAAAACUUAAAAUUGCACAAAAUUUGUCACCUGUACCAGCUUUUAGAACUGUUUAUCUUAUCCUCCUCAGUGAUACAUCAUGAAGUUGUGUGCUUUGCCUAAAAUGCCCAGUUACCUGAAAUUGUAUAAAUUCUUGCCAAAAGUGUUUGAACUUAAUACAAACUUCCCAUCUCUUACCUCUUAGCACUGUGCUCAUCUUGAGGGGACAUAGUCCCAAUUUUGUAUUUUAUAUAAUACUGUUAAUGAAUAUGUGUAGACUUCAUAUGGUUGUGGGUAAGAGAAUACUGCAUUCAGAUAGAAAAGAUGCUAUAUAGCUAAGUUGAUCCAGGAUCCUUGGGCUACCUGCUAGGCAGCUUGUGGUGAACAAUCAUAAUCUCUAAAAAA
rnacentral:lncRNA from 10 species